UGCGCAAACCCCGGAAAAAGAUAUAAAGAAACGUGCAGCUUCUCAGUCGGGUGUCCUUGCGACAUAGCAAACAUGCCAACGUCUCCUGUGAAAACGCGGAUCCCUCUAACUAGUUUUGGACACCUGAUAUCCGAAGUGAAGAGACAGCUGUUUGGCAUAGAGGCUCCUGCAACGGUAGAUCUGACUGGAUGGAGGAGACACUUCAACACGUACACACUGCAGGGGCGACGGAACUUUGUUCUGGUGACAUAUGCUGCUCUGGCCCUGGGUGCUGCAGCUUACGCCGUGAACCGCCGAGACAAACAGACACAGGAAGUGGCAGAGAGUAUCACUUCCUCCCAGGCCUGAAGGACUCUACACACGUAGACACACACACAGUAGCACUUCCUCCCAGGCCUGAAGGACCCUACACUCGUACACACACACACUCACACACACACACACAGAGACUGUAAGUAUAGUUAUAUUAUUAAGUGACAGACCGCAGAACACUGGGAUGUAACUGUUUAUUAAAUUAAUAAAUAUCUCACCACUA